CGACGGGUAGCCGGCCUGAGAGGGCGACCGGCCACACUGGGACUGAGACACGGCCCAGACUCCUACGGGAGGCAGCAGUGGGGAAUAUUGGGCAAUGGAGGAAACUCUGACCCAGCGACGCCGCGUGCGGGAUGAAGGCCUUCGGGUUGUAAACCGCUUUCAGUAGGGAAGAAGCGAAAGUGACGGUACCUACAAAAGAAGCACCGGCUAACUAUGUGCCAGCAGCCGCGGUAAUACAUAGGGUGCAAGCGUUGUCCGGAAUUAUUGGGCGUAAAGAGCUCGUAGGUCGUUUGUUACGUCGGAUGUGAAAACCUGAGGCUCAACCUCAGGCCUGCAUUCGAUACGGGCAAACUAGAGUUUGGUAGGGGAGACUGGAAUUCCUGGUGUAGCGGUGGAAUGCGCAGAUAUCAGGAGGAACACCAAUGGCGAAGGCAGGUCUCUGGGCCAAUACUGACACUGAGGAGCGAAAGUCUGGGGAGCGAACAGGAUUAGAUACCCUGGUAGUCCAGACCGUAAACGGUGGGCACUAGUUGUGGGAACCUUCCACGGUUUCUGCGACGCAGCUAACGCAUUAAGUGCCCCGCCUGGGGAGUACGAUCGCAAGAUUAAAACUCAAAGGAAUUGACGGGGCCCCGCACAAGCAGCGGAGCAUGCGGCUUAAUUCGACGCAACGCGAAGAACCUUACCAAGGCUUGACAUAUAGGGAAAAGUGGCAGAGAUGUCAUGUCCGCAAGGGCUCUAUACAGGUGGUGCAUGGUUGUCGUCAGCUCGUGUCGUGAGAUGUUGGGUUAAGUCCCGCAACGAGCGCAACCCUCGUUCUGUGUUGCCAGCAUUUAGUUGGGGACUCACAGGAGACUGCCGGGGUUAACUCGGAGGAAGGUGGGGAUGACGUCAAAUCAUCAUGCCCCUUAUGUCUUGGGCUGCACGCAUGCUACAAUGGCCGGUACAGAGGGCUGCAAUACCGUAAGGUGGAGCGAAUCCCAAAAAGCCGGUCUCAGUUCGGAUUGAGGUCUGCAACUCGACCUCAUGAAGU
rnacentral:rRNA from 1 species